GUACCUGUUGACCUCAUCUGGGCUGCAGUUGGUGACUGCUCGAAGGGGUGGGAGGAACAGUAUAAAGUCCUGUCCCCUUCCUGCCUUCAAGGGCACCCCUGAAGGACCAUAUCCACUGUGGACCCCCUUGGGAUCAGCCGAGUGACUCGAAGGAAUUGGGUCUUGAGACACAGCCGAGCCUGUGAGCGCUGACCUGUGUAAAGAAGACACCAGAAUGAGAUGUCUCCACACACAGAGAGCUGCAGCCGAUGCCGGCCGGUGACUUGGGACUUGGAUGCUUAACAGGAGGCUCCCCCUCUCUUGGGAGGUAGAGAGCAGUGAGGAAGGGGACUCAGCCUCCAUGCCUCCCGCCAGCCCAGCUGCGCCCGAAUCACCUCCCUCCUGAAAGGAUGUCAGCCUCUGCUUGGACACCGUGGAGACAGGGCCCUCCUUGUGCUUCAGAAGCAUCAACGUGUCAGAAAAUCAUCUUCACGCCAAGUCUGGAAAAAAUGGCUUUGAGGUUGUGCACACAAAGGAAGGAGGGAGAGCCCCAGGUGUCGCGGAGGACCAUGCGGCUGACAGAGCCAGCAGGGCGGUGGCGUGUGAGCCGUGCUCUGGAUAUAUAAGGAUCUGACGCUGCUGGCAAUGUCUGAGCUCUAUGCUCGCCCAUCUGUCGGCUGCUAUCAUCACCGGGUGGGAUUAGCGGAGAUCCACUCUUUCAUAUUUAAAUCUUCACAAGAGAAUGAAUCACUUUUAUAAUAAAAGAAAAAGACCGUCCAUGUUGUUAAUGUGCACACAGCAAGUUGGAAGGCCGGGGAGGGCAGCGGGUGGGGACGCUGACCCAGGCGCCCCCCUGCUGCCUGGAACAGCCCCAGGCCUGCUCCACUGUCCCCUCGGGGUUCCCUGUCGAAGAGGCCAAAGAGUGGAGGGGCUGGUGCCUAGAGGGUGUGGAGCUGCAGGUGCACAGUACAGCUGGCACCUGGCAGAGGUGGUUCAUUAUCAAGCAAAGGAUGAACAAGGCACUUGGAGCCCCUUCACAACUGGAACCUCCACUGCAGGCACAAGGCUGGGCUGGACUGGGGUCUCCUCCUCUCCAUGACAGCCUUGGGCAACCUGGAGCCCGCCACUGCCCCUCCCCAGGUGCUGUCCCCUUGAAGCUUCUCCCAACGGUUUAGUAUUGUAGAGUUGGCACAUCUCACGUGAACAAGAACAGCCAUCACUGAAACGAAUGCUCAGAGCGGACCGGCGUUUUUUCCCAGCCACCCUGGGGUGAGCAUGGCUCACGUUGCACACCAGGAAGCCCAGGAGCGGGGAAUUGAACCAGUUCCAUCCAGUCCCUGGCAAGGGACCACCCUGUGUCCGAAGGCCACGUUCAUUUUUCAGAUUGCAGGAAAUGGCUCAGCCUGAAGUUCAAGUUUUCCUCUGAGCUCCUGUUGAUUAAUGUGGCAAAGAGAGCAUGCUGUGGAAUAUGCUGGCAGAAAUGUCAGGAUUGCUAAAGCGUUUCACUGCAAAUGCUCAGGCUGGUGGGGAGGUGCCUUGGCACAAUUCUGCAGAGGGUAUUUGGCAAUAGCAACAAAAUCACAAAGGCACAAACCCUGUGACCCAGAAACACCAAUUUCACGGUAGGAGCUGCUGCCGCAGGGGUUUGCCCAGAGCACAGGGAAAGAUGUGCUCACUGUACUCGCUGGGACAAGCAAGAGAUUGGAAAGAGCUCAGUGUCGUCAUUCAGGGUGUCUCCUGUGUCUCCUGAUCGCUAUAAGGGGUUCCAGGCUGGUCCCCGGGGGAGGAGCUCCUGAUCAGACGCAGGCCCUGCCCCCUCCCCAGCACAGAGCUGGUGAAGGAAGUGGACAUUCAUUCAUUCAGGAUGUUCUGAGUAUUUCAGCACCACCAGGCCCUGGGAAAUCAAGGUCUCAGCAGAUGACGGUGGCAGUUUGAUUUUUGGCUGAAUUGUCCUCUACAGCAGUCACUGGGGGUUGCGUUUUUCUCACACUGCCCAGUCAUGCAGCACACGGAAGCCAUCCAUAUGCCAUGGGAAAAUGCUUUGUCUCCUGCCUGGGCGCCCCCCGAGCCAGUGAGUACAGUCCUGCCUAGUGGCAAGAUCUUCUUCCGAAAGAACGUCUACACACUGCCGAUGACAUUUACUUCACUCAGAAUUUGCAAGUCCAAUGCCGACAUGAAUAUGCACGGCACUGCUGCUUGGAUACGUGGCCUCAGGGCCACGCCUGCGGGUGAUGUGACAAGUCCACAGACUCCCGUGGCGGCUUCUCACCGAGAAACAUUCCAGCACCUGGAGGCUGCCAGCUGGGAACCCCCUUUAGGCGACGUCAGCGCCGUUGGUUCUCAGCCUGAGCCGCCCCCUGUGCCCGCUGUGGUCCUCCAGGCCCAGGCAGGGAGAGCCCGAGGAAAAGCAAGCGGAGGGUCAGAUGGGGAACCAGCGUGCCUGGAGCCACGCAGGGACACGGACUUAGAAUUCUACCUUGCAUUUAAGGAACAGAUGAUAGAUACUCUCUACAGUCUCUUCCAGGAAAUAGAAGCAGAGGAACACUUUAUAACUCACUCUACGAGGCCGGCAUUACCCCAAUAACAAAACCGAGGAUGUUACAAGAAAGGAAAACGCAGACCAGGAUGUCUCAUGAACACAGAUGCAAAAACCCUCAACAAAACAGCAGCAAAUCCAGCAUCACAUACUAAGAAUUAUACACCACAGGAUUUCCCAACCAGCACCACAUACUAAGAAUUACACAAAUAGCAGCGAAUCUCAUGCAGCGCUACAUGGUAAGAAUUAGACAGCACAGGAUUUAUUCCAGGCAUGCGAGGCUGCUCCAGGGUUCGGAAACAGAUUAUCGAAAUCCAUCAUGGCAACAGGAACUAUUUUCCAAAACCCAACACCCAUCUGUGAGAAAAACCUUUCACAAGCCAGGAAUACAAGGGAACUCCCUCAGCUUGGUAGAGAACAUCUACUAAAAACCUACAGCCCAUGUCAUACUCAAUGGUGACAAACCUGAAGCUUUUCUUCCUAAGAUAGGGAAGGAGGCAGGGAGGCCCCCUAUCCUCACUCCUAUUUAACGUCAUACUGUGAGUUCACAGGAUGGACACUACCGAUUUCAACACUUGCUAUAAAGCCCCAGUUAUCGGUACAGUGUAAUUUUUUUUUUUUUUUUGAAAUGGAGUCUCACUCUGUCGCCCAGGCUGGAGUAUGGUGACACAAUCUUGGCUCACUGCAGCCUCUGCCUCCUGGGUUCAAGUGAUUCUCCUGCCUCAGCCUCUUGAGUACUUGGGAUUUCAGGCACCUGCCACCAUACCUGGCUAAUUUUUGUAUUUUUAGUAGAGAUGGGGGUUUCACUAUAUUGGCCAGACUGGCCUCGAACUCCUGACCUCAAGUGAUCCACCCGCCUCGGCCUCCCAAAGUGCUGGGAUUACAGGCGUGAGCCACCACACCCAGCCAGUAAAGUGUAAUCGUGGCUAAAGAACAGACAAAUAUUCCAAUGGAACAGAAAAGAGAGCCCAGAAGUGGACGGACACAUGCAUGGGCAAAUGAUCUUUGAGAAAGAAGCAAAAGUUAUUGAUGUUGAAAAGACUGUCUUUCAACAGAUGGUGCUGGAACAACUGACAUCCACAUGUAGAAAAAAAUGGGUCUUAUACCUUUCAGGAUAAUUAACUCAAAAGGCCUCACAGACCUUAAUAUAAAAUGCAAGAUAAUACAAUUUAUAGAUAAUAACACAUUUUAUUUAAUAUAAAAUACAAGAUAAUAAAAUUUCUAGGUAAUAAAAUCUAGGUAUCUUGGGUAUAAAAUCUAGGUAUCUUGGGUUUGGCAAUGAGUUUUUAGAUGCAACAUCAAAAGCAUAAUCCACAAAAAAAAUGAAUAAGCUGGACUUCAUUAAAAUUAAGAAAUUACACGGCUGGGCGUGGUGGCUCACACUUGUAAUCCCAGCACUUUUGGAGGCCAAGGCGGGUGGAUCACCUGAGGUCAGGAGUUCAAGACCAGCCUGACCAACAUGGAGAAACCCCAUCUCUACUAAAAAUACAAAAUUAGCUGGGCAUGGUGGUGCACGCCUGUAAUCCCAGCUACUCGGGAGGCUGAGGCAGGAGAAUCACUUGAACCCGGGAGGCGGAGGUUGUGGUGAGCCGAGAUUGUGCCAUUACACUCCAGCCUGGGCAACAAGAGCGAAACUCCGUCUCAAAAACAAAAAAGAAAAAACAAAAACAAAACAAAACAAAAACGCUCUAAAAAUGACACUGUUAAACGAAUGAGAAGACAAGAUACAGCCUAGGAAAAAAUAUUUGCAAAAUACUUGAUAAAGGAGUGUUAUCCAAAAUAUAUAAAGAACUUUUACAACUCAACAAUAAGGAAACAAACAUGAAGAAAUGGGCAAAACAUCUGAAUAGACACCUCAUCAAAGAAGACGUAGCAAUGGAAAAAUAAGCACAAGAAAAAUGCUCCACAUCAUAUGUCAUUAGAGAAAUGUCGAUUAAAACAAUGAGAUCAAAUGAGAAUGGCUACAAAAACCAAAACCAAGAUCCUGACGACACCAAACGCUGGCAAGGCUGCGGAGCAACAGAACCGCCCUCACCCGUGGCUGCUGGGAAUUCAAAAUGGCGCAGCCGUGCUGGAAGGCACUUUGGCAACUUCCUACAAAGCUCAACGUAUCCUUACCACGUGUUCCAACGAUCGCCCUCCUUGGCAUUUCUACUCCCAAAGGGGUGAAAGCCACACAGAAACCUGCACAUGUAUGUUUAUAGCAGCCUUCUUCAUAAAUGCCAAAAACCAAGAUGUCCAUCAAUAGCUGAGUGAAUAAACAAGCUGGGGGACAUCCAGAUAAUGGAAUAUUAUUCAGCCGUAAAAAGAACAAGCUAUCAAGCCAUGAAAAGACAGGGAGAAACCUCAACUACAUACUGCGAAGGGAAAGAAGCUGGUCUGAAAAGGCUGCAUACGGUAUAAUCCCAGCUGUGUGACGUUCUGGGUAAGACAAACUGGAAAGACAGUAAGAGGAUCAGUGGGUGCCAGGGGUUGUGGGGAGGGAGGAAUAAACAGGUGGAGCUCCAAGGAUUUUUUCGGGCAAUGAAACUCUUCUGCAGGAUCCUGGGAUGGUAGAUAUAGGACAUUACACAUUUGUCCAAACCCACAGAAGGUACAAGACUGAUGAACCCUAAUAUAAACUGCAGACUUUCCUUAAUAAUGUAUCAAUAUUGGCUCAUUAAUUGUAACAAUGUACCACACUAAUGCAAAAUGUUAAUAACAGGGAGACACCUGUUAUUAACAGGUGAGGGCCAGGAGACACCAUGGAGCCGCUGUCCUGUGGGCUCAACGCUUCUCUACAACUGUUCUAAAAAAUAAAGUCUAUUAAUAACAAUU
rnacentral:lncRNA from 1 species